CCUAGGGGUGGCUGCAGUGGGGAAUUUUGCGCAAUGCUCGUAAGAGUGACGCAGCGACGCCGCGUGAAUGACGAAGGCCUUCGGGUCGUAAAGUUCUUUCGACAGGGAAGAAAAUGCCUAUAAGUAACUGUGUAUGUAUUGACGGUACCUGUAUAAGCAGCCCCGGCUAACUCCGUGCCAGCAGCCGCGGUAAUACGGAGGGGGCGAGCGUUGUUCGGAGUGACUGGGCGUAAAGAGCACGUAGGCGGUGUUGUAAGGCAUUAGUCAAAGACUAGAGCUCAACUUUAGUAAGGCUAGUGAUACUAUAAUACUAGAGUAUCAGAGAGGAUUGCAGAAUUCCUAGUGUAGCGGUGAAAUGCGUAGAUAUUAGGAAGAACACCAGUGGCGAAGGCGGCUUUCUGGACUGAAACUGACGCUGAGGCACGAAAGCGUGGGGAGCGAACAGGAUUAGAUACCCCAGUAGUC
rnacentral:rRNA from 1 species